AUGAGCAGCAGUCAAUGAAUUAGGGAGGGGUUUCCCAUGUCCUGGAUCAGAAGAUGCCUCUGAGUCAUCAGCUGCAUCACUGGCUACACGAGCAGGAAGAAGACCAAGCUUGUGCAGUCUUAAGAUGCAAUCCAAGAUAUUUCUCCAGCCAGUACGGAUAAAAUCACCACAUUUGUUUGCUAUAGUGAAAACUGUAACAGUUGCCUUUCUUGCUUUCGCAUCAUCGCCAAAGGCUAAAACAGGUUCCUCCACCAAUGAGGGAUUCAACAGGGUUGUGAACUUACAUAGAGAUACCACUAGAUCAUCCAAGACAUCUUCAAGAUGAUGGCACGCCGAAAUCUUUGCAACAGCCAAGAAACCAUCAAUACAAGUCUGGUAGACAUCCUCAUGUUCAGCAUGAUCAAACACCACAGAGAUAGCAGCAAUAGUAGGGCCCGACAUUAUUGCAAACAUAUCAUGAUCAAGGUAGGCUUUAGAAUCACACAUGAUGUAUGGAGAAGU
rnacentral:misc_RNA from 1 species